rnacentral:rRNA from 1 species
AAAGCGCGCGUAGGUGGUUUGUUAAGUUGGAUGUGAAAGCCCCGGGCUCAACCUGGGAACUGCAUCCAAAACUGGCAAGCUAGAGUAUGGUAGAGGGUGGUGGAAUUUCCUGUGUAGCGGUGAAAUGCGUAGAUAUAGGAAGGAACACCAGUGGCGAAGGCGACCACCUGGACUGAUACUGACACUGAGGUGCGAAAGCGUGGGGAGCAAACAGGAUUAGAUACCCGUGU